ACUUUAAGCGAGUCGGAUUUUGCCACGUGUGAACCCGCCUUAACAACAGAGAGAGAGAGAGAGAGAGAGAGAGAGAGAGAGAGAGAGAGAGAGUUCUUUAUAUUCAUAAUAGUGUACUGUACAUCUGGCUGAGAUCUGGCGACCGCUGGCAGUCCCCAAUCCACGCAGCUGAGAGAUAAGUGACGGGAUGUCUAUACUAUGGUAGUGCCAAUGCCCAUAUUAUAGAUGUAUGAUGACAAUGUAUAAUGCUUGUACUUGGACAACAACGUCGCCCGACUGGGGAAAAACAAUCUAUGGCUGCAUGCUCUCAAGUGUUUGUUUUUCGUAAGUUGUCGACCUUAUCUCAUUUUCUUUUCAUGUCUUUUUCUUUUGUGCUGAUUGUUGCAUUGAAUUUAAAUAUUUGACAUUAUUCUAGUGAAAUAUGCAUUAGUGGAGCAGGAAAUAUAUACACGGUUGCUCUGAUAGAAGUAAUAAGCAAAUUAGCAAAGAUCUCUAUAUAAUUGUUAUGUUACUAAUAGUAUUGUCAUUCGUAUUUUUAUGGAUCUUCUUUGGUACGGUAGGUUUUACGUGGUUUUUUUUUUAAAUAUAUAUUUUGUCACUGUAUCGAUUUUUUUUUUUUUCAUUUAAUUUCGGCAUUAAGGUAUAAUUUCUCGUAAGGUCGGUGCAGUACCUCGACUUCCUUCCUUGCGUCUUGUCCACAAGGUACUGUCUACAUAUUUGUUAGUUUAUCUUAUUCCUCUCAUUAUAUAGUUAUUUUUAUCUUUCAUUAUUGUACAUUGCAUGUUAAUCUAAUAUUGAAAUUAAUUUCGGUGGUCAGGAUCUUUCUUUUCUUCAUGCUCAGUUGGCGUCUGGGCUUAGUAGGCUUAGUUGCCACUUACCAUUUGGCCGUAGUGUGUUAAGGUGUGAUAGUGUUUGAGGUGUAUGGAUGGUAACUACAGCUGAUUCGAAGUUUUCUGCUGAAUUAAUGGCACAGAGCACUGUGGGAGUACAUUCAAACAACCAGUGAUUAUCAGCAACUCAGCCCAUAGCGAAGGCCACAAUUCAUCUGAAGAAGGUUGCCAGCGUAGCGACAAACGCGUUCUGAUGCCCCAAGCUUCAAGCGGCGAGAGAUGUUAAGUUGGCCAUCAGGAUCUACUUGAGAGACCCAGUAAGUGCGGAUGUUGGUGGGCGUUGUGCGUUACGAGAGUGCAGGGAGUUGCAAGACUUUCCUGCCGGUGAUAUGACUACAUUUCCCUGUGUUAUAACAACUAAUGGUCGGAUUAUUAUUUUUUUCUGGGUGGGGUUUAAUGACCCAGCGGUGCUGGCUAUAUUAGUAUUAGUUGCAGCGAUGAUGGUAGUUGUGGCCGUGGUGGUGGUGAUGAUGGAAGUAUUAUUAUUAUUAUUAUUAUUAUUAUUAUUAUUAUUAUUAUUAUUAUUAUUAUUAU